UUUCAAAGUGUAGAAUUGUUUAUAAUGUGAAUUUUGUUUCAAUUGUAGUAGUGCAAUCUUGUCAGUCGUCUCAUUCACGUCCUCUUUUCCCCCUCUCUUUGUUUUAUGUGCUCGCUGGUUUUCUAUCUUGAAAGAAUAACAUGACCUGCAUGUGCUGUGUUUUUCUUUGCACGUGCAUGCACGCAACCAAAGGAGGUCGGGUCCUGUGACUAUUUGUCUUUGCCAGCACUACGACACCACGACCACUACCUGCCAUCGACUUCACUAUGGCGGAUGUUCCAGUGACGCCCACAACUGUAUUGUACUGUGUAUUGUAUAGAGUCCCCUUGAAAUGGGCCGAAGACCUCUUAGAUAAAUGAGUAAAUCAAAUCUCUCCGUGUGUGUGUGUGUGGGUAUAUCUUUUCAAUUGUUAUCGUAAAUGAAUAAAUUGACGAAUUUCAAAUACUGUUUGUAAACAUGCAGCCAUACAUGAAUGACAACAAAGUAUUGUAGUACCAAAACUGAUAAUAAUAAUAAUAAUAAUAAUAAUAAUAAUAAUAAUAAUAAUAAUAAUAAUAAUAAUAAUAAUAUCAAAAGGACAAAGGACAACAUGCAAAGAAACAUCUAAACUAACGUUUCGGCGUUUUGUUUCUUUCUUGCCGAUUUGUAUUCAGAUAAAAUAACAAUAGAAAGUUUCUAUGCACAAAUGUAAUAUUAGACCGCUUCCCUUAAAAACUCACUUGAUUUCAGAAUUUCCACAGCUGUUGUAGCUGCAUGAUAACAGAUAACUUUUGACCGAAGCUCUCAGUGGACUGGACUAUCUUUUAACAUCGACUUCAUUUGAGUCCCUCUGAGUCUGCUGCAGCCAAGAUGAAAGUCGUUCAUCUUAUUUUUCUUGUUUUUCUGACAUCUACAACUGCCCAGGUGGUUCUAAACAGUGCCUGUACCCAGCCCAUGAGAGAGGGACCGUGCCAGGCUGAGGUUCUGCGCUAUUUCUACAACACGACGACCCACACGUGUCAACACUUUAUUUACGGCGGUUGUUCCGCUAAUGCCAACAACUUCCUGACGAUGCAAGACUGUCUUAACCACUGUGUUUACCCAGUGGGCUGAAAACAGCCAGUCUUUGGCAAAGUUUCCAGCAUUCACAUGGUGUUUGUGGAGAUUAAAACAAUAUAUUAAGCAUC